AAUAAAUUAAAGCAACUGUAGAUACUGUGCCAACUGGUAGUUUUUGCCACUAGAGGGCAGCAGUGGGCUUCUUAUUGUUAUGGAAUUACACUUAUCAACCUAGCCUAACUAUAGCUGAUAGGUUAAUGUGAUUAUCUACCUGACAUUUCUUCUUCAAAAUUGAGCGUUUGGUUUAAAUUUGCUACAUUUCUAAUUAAAGGAGUUCAAAAUGAGUGACACUAUAUACUUCAAUACCAGUGCCUGGAGUAUUUGAGUGAGUCAACAUGGAUCAUGACAUUCUGAUGAUACAAUUCCCUUAUAUAUACUUUAUAGUACAGUGGAUUACAAUUAAGGAAUAAUUUGUUAUAUAAAGGUAUAAAUCUUGAUUGCAGGUGGUAGACCUUUCAUGGAAUGAGGAAUGAAUGGAGUUUCACACACAUGCCAAGAUGAAGGGCCUUUGUCAAGAUAUCACUGUAGUCUGGAGUUUUUCUUCACAUCUAUGACGCCAACAAACCUUGAAGGAGAAUGUGAACUCUGUGCUAUGUGAAGGCAAAGUUUAAUGCAGUACAAGUCAAUGGUUACCCAGGGAAACCUUUCCAGAAGUUUCUGAGGCUCCUAGAAAAGUUUCUGAGCAAACCGAAAGGUUCAAAUGGGGCUGAAAAUACCAGACAUCUCUUUCCGGUGAACAGAUAACAGCAGCGGGUCAUCUGUCUUCGCUGUCCGCCUGGCCUAAACCUCAUUAGGCCGGAGGAAAAAAAGAGGGCGAGAGUAGAGCGGAAAGAAAGACUGAGAGAGGCAGAUGUUCCUGGGGUUUCAAUGGGAAUGCACGUCACUCUCGAUUCUCAAACCAGUUGGUGCCUGUAGGUGCAAUAACCUGAACUGAACUGUGAUCCCUGCAAGCUUCAUUAAUCACGCUGGAUGAAAAGACAACGUAAGAAGAAAUCCAACUGUUUGUUCAAUCGAUUUCCCACUGUCACUCCCAGAUGAUUCUGCAGGCUGAAAAUAUGAGAGCAGGCAACAGGCCCGGAUCAGUCUGAAGUGCAGCCUGAGGCCGUCACCUAUGAGUGAUUCCUCAAGGGGUAAAAUCUGAUGACGUGUGCUUGAGCUCACACAGCUGUGCUUUUAAGAUGGGAAAAUGUGCGUGACAACAGCAAGGACACAGUACAUCACAGCAUUGCAAGAUCAUCACACCGAUUUUCAAGUGCAGACAACAGGCCUAAUCAUCAACACAUCACUGCCAUGGAUAGCCAGAUGGAAUAAUUCCCUGUGCUUGCCACGAUAGAGGAUGGUCACCAAUAAAGGAUCAGAACUACAGAUGGUUUCACAGGCUGAGAAGAUCAGAGAGAGAUGGACGGA